UCAAAGAAGAUUCGUUUACAUUUCUCGUAAUAUUUAAACUGCGGUAGUAUCUAUCGAACCAGCAUAUCGAGCUAUCACAAAGUAGAGUGUGUUCAGAAAGACUUCAACUUAAGUCCAAGUAAUUGCAAGAAAGUAUCAUUCAUAGUCGAGCGACUUCUUCCUACUGAUAACGAACACAAACAGCCGUUAAGCGAAGUGGAAAGAAGAAAAAACGCAUGGCGUCCGCAAACUUUCAUCAAGGACGCUCGAUUAGAAUCGACAAGAAAACUUGCAACAGGUCAGAAGAUUCGCCUUGCAUACACGAUGGUUCUUUCGAGUUUGAACUGUAGAAAUCGAAUUGGGAAGUAUCGCCAACUAGUUUCGUGUCGAUAGUGUCUACUGGAUAUGAAGGAGUAACGGAAAUCGGCAUCAAUACACGCUCGGAUCUCACACGCAUUGGUAUGCGUGUCACAACGGUCUCGUUGUUCCCGUUUGACGUCCCGCGACGGGAAAAUAUCACGGAUAAAGUGGAGACAUAUUUGAAAAGCAGUCGCGGUGCCGGAGCGAAAAUAACAGAGAGAACGAUGAUACUACUGCCUCGUGUAUCCGAGAGUAUGCACGGCAAUGCACUCGCAAACUGCAUGUUUCUCCAAGGCGACUCGACGGUGAAAAGUUUCUCACAAUUAUAAGAGAAAGAGUUGCGGAGAAAGAGAGAGAGAGAGAGAGAAAGAUGCAUUGGAAAAUAAAAAACAUUCAACGAAAAUAUGUGGAAUCAGUUAUAAUCUCCGUGGAAAAAAAGAUUACCAUAAAUAUAAUAUUCCUAUCUGGCAAGUGAUAUUUAAAAUCGCAGUAACAUGAAUUAGCAUUAAAUAGCAAUGUAAAUUAAAGCUUUUGUCUCGCGUCAGUGAAAGACGUUAUUUUGCUUAUUGAUGAGCCAUUCCAAAGUAAAUUAAAAUACAGCAAAAGAGAGAGGCAAUUGUUUUGGGAUAGCUUCUUCUUUUCGAGCGCCGCAUAAAGCUGGACCACAGAACUGAAUGAUUAAUUCGAGAAUUAAAUUUUCAAAGGUAGCACGAUCGUUAUUUACUCUUUUCUUUCCUAUCGUCUCUUGCUUUUUAUAAUCGGAUUCCGUCGUUGGUAUCCUUCGAUAUGAUAUCUUCUCAUUAUAACUGAAAUUGUUUUUCGCGUUGUUUCUUUGUCUUUAAGAAAAUUAGCAUUUAUCCGUCGGCGAAGUCGAUUGUGAUUACCGUUACGUGUAUAAUUCACAAUAAAGUGUCUGCCUGUUUAUUACGUUUCAUUAAAUCUCCGUGUUUGAUCGGAUUAUUUCGAUUGUUGCGCAUUCGUUAUUUCGGCAUGCAAAUGUGACACUGGCGAAAAAAAAUGAAAUGUUAGUUUUAGAUACAAACUUACGGAUAUUUAAAAGCAAGUGUGUUUUUUAUCGUAUUAUUAAAUAUAUAAAUAUACAAGAAAAAAACUUAACACGCGUUUAAUGUAUAUAAGAAUACUAUUCGUAAAUAUGAUAACGAUACACUAUUGUGUAAAUUCCUUCUUUAAAUUUCUCUGAUAUAGACUCAUUACACAGUACAAUAAAAAAAACACUAAAGAUAGUGAUGAUUAAAAAAGUAGACUAUCCAUCAACAACUUUCAAAUUUUUGCACAAAAUC